GCCGAGAGAAGAGCACAGCGGAGAGAAACGUGAGACACACCUCGGGGGAGACGCCGAGAGCGACAUGUCAACAAACACAGUUCAUCAGCGCAAUGAGUCUUCUAGGGGACAUAUCAUAUACAAACCAUAAAAGUGAUUGUCGAAGAACACUGGAAUCAACAGGAGAAAAGUUAAACUUCAUAACAUCCAGAGACCUGGGACAACAGCAUAGUAAGAGAAACAAAAUACCCCAGUACCUGCUGCUAUAGCUGAAGGAGAAGGAAUCUCCCCUCUGCAGGAGUAAAGGCAUUAAGAAGCAGGCAUUUUUGUUAAAAGUGCCGGCCUGGUAAACAUGGCCUUCUACAAUAGUAUGUGGCUCUUUGCAUGUCCUCCGAUAAUUCUGCAGCCCUGAAAGGAAAAGAAUACCACAUUGGGAGCAGAUAAGAAUGUGAUUUGAGAAUGUGCAGUUGUUACCCAAGGAUAUGACCGUCAAUGAGGAGAUUCCCAACGAACGAAUUCCAUUAAGGGGGCAGAAACACUGCUUGAUAUUUUGAAGAGAACAUGGAUUGCAACAUGGGCUUUAUUGGGUAAAUGGAAGAGUGCUGAAACUUGAAGUCAUAAAAGGAAAGGAGAAGCCACACUACUUCUAGUAUUUCUAAACAAGCAAAGACAAGAAUCCUCCAAAGUGAACAAGUUAGAGAGGAAACCAUUUAUGAGCAAAAACGGAGACGGCAUCUGAGCCCCGAGUAUGUGACUGUAAGCCUGUCUUUGUCCACAUAAGCCAGGGUAAACAUUGCCAUGCCCAUGUUCUGGGCAGGCCAGCUAGAGUGUACAGUAUCUCUGAGCUCUGACUACAGCACCAGACACUCUUGGGUCAUUAAGAUCGAACAGACGACACUUCCAUGGUAGAACCAGGUACUCUGCUUUGCAGAACUGGUUUUGACAUAAUUUUUCCCCAAGCCACCCUCCUCCAGCCCAAGAGUGCAGGUACGCCAUAUUUACUAAGGUUAGACAAGGUCAGGGCUUGGCCUUUAGUCUUAUGGAAACAAACCAAAGAAAAAAGCUAAAAUUAGAGGUAGACUGAAUAUGUGUCUGUGUUGUGGGAGAUAAAGGGAAAAAAUGGAAGAACAGCUCUAAUGUUCACACUGUGUUUGUUCUUCUCAGGAGAGAGGUGUAGGAAGGCCACAGUGCCAGGACAGCGGGAGGAGAGGACCUGUAUCACAGUUUUAUCCCUUUUAUUUUCCACUUUUCUGCUGACAAUGUCUAUUGCUGUCCUUCUUUUGGACUCCUCUGUAAAUAUGCUACAGUAGUUCAUACAUUGGAUCACUAGGUCUAAACCAAGUGGAUAAUAUUAAAACAUGCAAUAAGAAAUAUGCCAAUUUGUACCUCUAAUUAGAGAAGUGGAUGAAUGAUUCAGAAAGAAGUGCAAAUUUUUUCUAAUAUAUCUUUUUUUUGUUAAAUAUCAGUUUUUAAUUUUCUCAGUAAUCCACCAAUGCUCUUUUACCCAUAUUGAUACAUUUUAAUGUAUAUAAUUACAAAAAUUUAUUGUUUGGGAGGAACUGUCCUUUCUAAUAUAUAAAUAUCUAUAAGGAUUUGAUGGAAACAGGAAAUCAUAUCAUAAUACAUUUAACUUUUUGUUUUUUUCUGAGCUUCUGUUCAG